AAUUAAUCAUUAUUUAACUUCUGUUUGUCUACAUAGGCUUUUAUAAUAUAUACUAGAUUUUGAUCCGUUCUUUAAAGACGGGUAUAUUUUUGUUUUAAUUUUUUUUUUGAAUAUUUUAAUCAUAACUUUUGUAUUUUUUUAUACAUUAUAGUGGUAUCGGGCAUGAAGAAAAAAAAACAGCGCUCAUAAUAGUGAAAAUACUUACUGUCAAUGAUUUUUUUUAUAAAUAAUGUGAUUAAUUAAAUAUACCUGUAAUAUUUAUUUUUAGUGGAACAGUUCUUGGUGUCAUAACUAUUUUUUGCUCACACACAAUAUAUACGUAAAAUUUAUUAUUAUAAUAAUGAAAGUGGUGGAUCUCUAAUAUAUAGGAAGUAAGAAAAGGUUAUAAUAAAAAAAGAGAAGUUAUAAUAAACUGAAAAUUACGUAAAAGGUAUAUUUAUAUGUAGACUAAUUAGUUAGUAAAAUAUAGAAAUAAAUAGUUGGACAUAACAUUAUCAAUUGGUCAUGAUCUAAAUUUAAUAGUAUUGAUUUUUUUCAUAAAUAAUGUGAUUAAUUAAAUAUACCUGUAAUAUUUAUUUUUAGUGGAACAGUUCUUGGUGUCAUAACUAUUUUUUGCUCACACACAAUAUAUACGUGAAAUUUAUUAUUAUAAUAAUGAAAGUGAUGGAUCUCUAAUAUAUAGGAAGUAAGAAAAAGUUAUAAUAAAAAAAGAGAAGUUAUAAUAAACUGAAAAUUACGUAAAAGGUAUAUUUAUAUGUAGACUAAUUAGUUAGUAAAAUAUAGAAAUAAAUAGUUGGACAUAACAUUAUCAAUUUGUCAUGAUCUAAAUUUAAUAGUAUUGAUGUGUAUAUAUAUAUAUACACAUAUGUUACGUAUCUGUUUUGAAAUUACUUUGAAGUUCUAAGGGUUAUGCUUUGAUUGGUAUUCGUGUUUAGAUCUUUGUUUGAUUGAACAGUUUAAUUUGUGUGUAUUGCAAUAAAUGAUAUAUUUGAUACUCUCCUUUUGUUUCGAUUUACAAUAUAAACUCUAUAAAUUAAUAUACACUAAAAAUUUCUAUAAAAUAAUAUAAUCUUAUAGUCCCAAAUUGAGUUUUUGGUUUAAUUAGUAUAUCGAUAAAUUAAUAUCUCUAUAAAUUAAUGAAAAAAUUAUAGUUUUGGUGUAGUUCGAACAUUAUUAAUUUAUAGAAGUUUCUUUGUAGUUGUUGUUGUAGGAAAAAAUUUCCGCUUCAAAAUAAGUGUUGUUUUAGAGUUUCACUGCAAAAUUUAUUAAUAAGAUUCUCCACUUUAUUUUUCUAUUGGUUAAAAAUGGUUAGGUGUAUAGAUAAUUGUGGUUUUGUUUUGGAAAUAUACAAAAUCAAAAAUUUUUAACCUGUGUGCAUAAAUCUAAAACGGCAAUUAAAACAAAACGGAGGAAAUAUUAUUUUACCAGCAUCUUAUCCCUUAUAUACUAAAUCACAAGUCACAUGAACAAUAACAGUCUGACACAUGGCAUUAGUUUUACAAAAAAAAAAAACUAAAAACAAAUAAGCGAAAACAACCGGUUGAAAAAAUAUGCUCCACCCCUUAUUUUUCUGCAAUUUCAACCAUCUAAUUCCUAAAUUUUCUCAAAAUUUCACCCACGUUUCAUUAUCAACUGUUUUCUUCUGUAUAUUUCCAGCUUUAAAUAUCAUUUCCAAAACUUUUUAAAACGGUCAAAAGAGUAAAGAACUUAUGCUCUUCCUUUUGUCUAUUUUCACAGUUUCUUCAAAACCUCAAACUCCACUCUGUAUUCGUCAGAUGUAAUAUGAGCCCAAACAGUAAAAUAAUUCAGAGUGGAAAUGACACUUGUGUAUAUAUACUUCUGUUUCACAGAUUCUAAAAGGAGACAAACCUAAAUGGGAAAUAAAAUUUUAUCAGCAACAAAGGUAAAGUAUUUUAUCAGCAACAAAGGUAAAGUAUUUACCUUCUUUUUGCUUAUAAAUUGGUUUUAAUAUCUGUUUUGUGACUUCUCUUUAGAAAAAUUAUGUUAACUAUAUUUCUCUAAUGCAAUAGAGUUGGAUAUAUUGUAGAAGCUGAUUCCAAUGCUAAGUCUUGAUUUUUCAGAGUGAACAUAAAUAUGGGUCCUUUAGAGGAAAGGAUGAUACUUUCGGGUAUGCACACCGUUGCUGAUAUUUUCUGCUGCUGUUGCGGAGAUAAUGUUGGCUGGAAAUACGAAUCAGAGCAUGAGAAAGAUCAGAAGUAUAAAGAAGACAAAUUUGUUCUGGAAAGGUAACAUCGUCUCUUCUGAAAAGUUUCUCUUGGUCCAUAGUUUCAGUUAUUUAGUCGAAAAAAAAAUUAUGUUAUCUAUUUAGUAUUUACUACAGAUAGAGAAAAUGAGUAUACGUUGAAAUUAGAACUCUAAACUAUAUUUAUGUGUUGUAUAUAUCUCAAAUUUUAAAUAUAAAAUACUUUCAACAUAUAUCUAUUUUGAACUAUUUUCCGUUUACAAGAUCUUUAUUUGAAUGCAACUAUUUUAUGAAAUUGUUAUCCAUACUUAUAGAAUAUUUAAUUAAUAUAAUUAUUUUUUUAUUGAUAAUUUUGAAAUUGCAGUUUUAUCAUCAAAUAAUUUUAAAAACAGUUAAUUUAAUUCGUGCGUAGCACGAGGGUAACACUAGUUUCUUCUAAACUGUAAAGCAAAAGCAAAACGCAAAAGCCCUUUCUUGAAAAAAAUGCACGCAAAACAAACGAGAAAAACAAUACUUGUUUGAUUGUUGGAACCCUUAAUUGUUUGCAAGUGAAAAAUGAUGGUUGUCUAUGAAAAACUAUAUUUUAUUGUAAAUAAUAUUUUGACAUAUAAACAUGUAUACUAAACACUCUAAAUGUAAAAUAAAAGGCAAACAAAUAAUAAUAAUAAUAAUAAUAAUAAUAAUAAUAAUAAUAAUAAUAAUAAUUCCAUUUUUGCUGUGAAAUGAUGGUUCUAAUAUAAAAAAAAUAUUUUGUUUUUUUUAACACGUAAAUAAGAGUCUCGUUUAAGGUACCGAGUUGCUUAAACUACAGUGAAGAAUCUACACUUAUUACAAAACGGUAUA